GUGCCCCUGCACUUGGCAAGGAAGACGUCUGUCAAGAUUGGGCCAGAGGAAGCUGUAUUGUUCCGAAUUGUCCACGUCGCCACAUGGCAAUACAUAAUGACCGUGGCAGCAUGCCAUGCUACUUGGAGUCUCAGCUAAUGGGGUGUAUCAAGCCGUUCUGCCCAUUCAAGCUUUUGAAGCUCCGUCCUGCUGCACCUCUGCAAACUGGCCAAGUACAACCCACUACGACUGCACCCCAAGGAAAUCCAGUCAAAGCUGGACCAGCGCAGGUGCUUCCACCUGAUUUCAAGUUGCUGAUAACCAUACCUGGUGACAGCAGUGCACAGCGCAGCCCUACCAUCCGGACUAUUGGCAAUUCUCAAGAAAGACUGCGACACGCCCGAACACAAGGGGCUGCCACCGACUCGACUGCCGCUGACUCCAGAAUGGAUAUGAGAAGAGCAACUCGAGCCAAAAGCCGAUACCAUUUGGUUCAUGCUCGCGAUCAUCCAAAUCAACAGCAUAGAUUUGGACCUGCAAGGCAUGGUCCAAUUCGUUUGUUACCAACGAAAAGGGCAGCAUUUGUUCAGCAAAAAGACCAAACGAAGCCGUUAGCCAAACGACGCAGGCCUGAGGUACUACAACCGUGAAAAUUCAUUGGUAUAUCAAUGAAUGAGUUGUGUGUGCGUGUAUGUGUAUGUGUAUGUGUGUGUGUGUCCCAUAUGGUGCAGUGGUAUGUGCAGCGAUUUCCAAUCGAUAGGUUGCGGGUUCGAUUCCCGACGAAUAUGGUCACACGCGUCUUUCUUCUCUUUCUCAGACUCUUCCUGACUUUUCUUUCAUUCUCCUGGGUGGUUACCAACAGCCAGUGCAUGCCGGAGGGUGUGGUGUGAUGUGUGUGCGGGAAAAACAUGAAAAAGACCAAAAAUAGGGAUUCACUGGCCCGAAAAAAAUCACUUCAAAUAGCUGUAUGGUGUAGGCCAGGCUGAAUAGUGACGGGCAAUUCUUCAGCCUUGCAAGCUGGUGAAUGGUGCAAUCCCAGCACAAGUUGCUGUGGCUUCUGCCGUAGCAUUGCUAUCAUC